rnacentral:tRNA from 1 species
UGUUCUGUGGCUUAGUUGGCUAAAGCGCCGGUCUAGCGAAUAGGGAGUUGUUGGUUCAAAUCUCACCAGAACGC